rnacentral:rRNA from 1 species
GUGAGGAAUAUUGGUCAAUGGGCGAGAGCCUGAACCAGCCAAGUCGCGUGAAGGAAGAAGGAUCUAUGGUUCGUAAACUUCUUUUGCAGGGGAAUAAAGUGCAGGACGUGUCCUGUUUUGUAUGUACCCUGAGAAUAAGGAUCGGCUAACUCCGUGCCAGCAGCCGCGGUAAUACGGAGGAUCCGAGCGUUAUCCGGAUUUAUUGGGUUUAAAGGGUGCGUAGGUGGUUUGAUAAGUCAGCGGUGAAAGUUUGCAGCUUAACUGUAAAAAUGCCGUUGAAACUGUCGGACUUGAGUGUAAAUGAGGUAGGCGGAAUGCGUGGUGUAGCGGUGAAAUGCAUAGAUAUCACGCAGAACUCCGAUUGCGAAGGCAGCUUACUAAGCUACAACUGACACUGAAGCACGAAAGCGUGGGGGUCAAACAGGAUUAGAUACCCCGGUAGUCC